rnacentral:rRNA from 1 species
GACGAACGCUGGCGGCGUGCUUAACACAUGCAAGUCGAACGGAAAGGCCCUGCUUUUGUGGGGUGCUCGAGUGGCGAACGGGUGAGUAACACGUGAGUAACCUGCCCUUGACUUUGGGAUAACUUCAGGAAACUGGGGCUAAUACCGGAUAGGAGCUCCUGCUGCAUGGUGGGGGUUGGAAAGUUUCGGCGGUUGGGGAUGGACUCGCGGCUUAUCAGCUUGUUGGUGGGGUAGUGGCUUACCAAGGCUUUGACGGGUAGCCGGCCUGAGAGGGUGACCGGCCACAUUGGGACUGAGGUACGGCCCAGACUCCUACGGGAGGCAGCAGUGGGGAAUAGUGCACAAUGGGCGGAAGCCUGAUGCAGCAACGCCGCGUGCGGGAUGACGGCCUUCGGGUUGUAAGCCGCUUUCGCCUGUGACGAAGCGUGAGUGACGGUAAUGGGUAAAGAAGCACCGGCUAACUACGUG